rnacentral:misc_RNA from 1 species
AUUUAGCCCUGAUUGAGCGGUAUGUUUGAGCUCUUUUCUAUUUUCGGCGGCGGCAAGGCCGCCGCCGAAAAUAGAAAAAGCGAGUAGCGAAAGCAGGAAAAAGC